UACGAAGGGUGCAAGCGUUAAUCGGAAUUACUGGGCGUAAAGCGCGCGUAGGUGGUUUGAUAAGUUGGAUGUGAAAGCCCCGGGCUCAACCUGGGAAUUGCAUCCAAAACUGUCUGACUAGAGUACGGUAGAGGGUAGUGGAAUUUCCUGUGUAGCGGUGAAAUGCGUAGAUAUAGGAAGGAACACCAGUGGCGAAGGCGACUACCUGGACUGAUACUGACACUGAGGUGCGAAAGCGUGGGGAGCAAACAGGAUUAGAUACCCGGGUAGUCCCUGA
rnacentral:rRNA from 1 species